rnacentral:rRNA from 1 species
AUUGAACGCUGGCGGCAGGCCUAACACAUGCAAGUAGAGCGGAGCGGCGGACGGGUUAGUAAUUCCUAGGAAUCUGCCUGGUAGUGGGGGAUAACGUCCGGAAACGGGAGCUAAUACCGCAUAAUAUCAGAUGAGCCUAGGUCGGAUUAGCUAGUUGGUGAGGUAAAGGCCUACCAAGGCGACGAUCAGUAACUGGUCUGAGAGGAGGAUCAGUAACACUGGAACUGAUACACGGGCCAGAGUCCGACGGAAGGCAUCAGUGGGGAAUAUUGGACAAUGGGCGAAAGCCUGAUCCAGCCAUGCCGCGUGUGUGAAGAAGGUUUUCGGAUUGUAAAACACUUUAAGUUGGGAAGCGUUACCAACAGAGUAAGCACCGGCUAACUUCGUGCCAGCAGCCGCGGUAAUAC